UUUUGAUUGUUGCUCAGAAAGCCCGUAAUUUAACUUAACAUGGCUUUCGAGUAAUAAUCGAAACC
rnacentral:pre_miRNA from 1 species